GACAGAGGUGCCGAGCGUUAGGCGGAAUCACUGGGCUUAAAGCGUGUGUAGGCGGACCGUUAAGUACCUUGUGAAAUCCCACGGCUCAACCGUGGAACGGCUGGGUAUACUGGCGGUCUUGGGCAACCCAGGGGCUGUCGGAACAAGCGGUGGAGCGGUGAAAUGCGUAGAUAUCGCUUGGAACGCCGGCGGUGAAACGGACAGCUGGGGUUGCCGACGCUGAGACGACGAAAGCCAGGGGAGCGAAC
rnacentral:rRNA from 1 species